UUUGAGGUGAAUUGAUUUAUGUUUGGACACACUUGUUUAAAAGUGGUUUUUACAAGUUGACGUUGUUUAGAUAG
rnacentral:pre_miRNA from 1 species